rnacentral:lncRNA from 1 species
CUUGCACGUUUCCAAAAGAUUCAGUCAGAGAAUCUUUGCCUUGGACGGAUACUCCAUAGGAGAAAACAGGAGAAAGUUGACACUUAACUCCCACAGAGUACCAGCAUAAAGACAAUGGCUUUAAGAGUCUGACUCAGAGUUUCAACAUGAAAGGUUUGCUUUAUAGAGGAAACGCCAAUCCCAGUCCAUCCAGAUAGACCUGGAACCUGAUGAAAGUCGACACCUUUAUUCUGAAAUUUGCAUCACAUCGCUGGCUCCAGUUUAGAAACAUGAUCGUUUCACAGGUAGUAUGCAUUUCAGCGAAUGCUGCCUCUAAACUACCCGUCAGGAAAAAUAAAAUCUAUAAGGUAAUCGUAGUCUAGGAGCCAUCAAUCCCCAAAUGCUUCUCUUAGAAAACGAAUGCCAACAAUUUAGCUAAACAUCUUCCUUGGAAGUGAGCCAUUUCCCAUGUCUCUCUGUUCUCCAAACCGCGAUGAAAUUUCAACCUGCCCAACACGAUUACUGGUCCACCUAGAAAUGCCGUGGAGCGAUUUAAGAGCCUCGGAAAUUUCCUUUAAGGUCAGGAGAGAAGCUGGUAACAGAUGGGGCGAAGGAGGAAAAGUUCUUUUUGCGGCACCCUCACGCCUUCCCAGCCCUUUCGCGGUUUACUCGCUCCCCGGAAAGCAGGGCAUUCAAGCAGCCCUGAGGAGAGGUCCACAUGGUGAGCCACUGAGGGCCUUGCCAAGAGCCAGCACCAACGGUCCAGGUUUGGAGUGUACCACCUUGGAAGUGAAUCUUCCAGUCCAGUCAAGCCUUCAGAUGACUUCAGAACCGUCCAUGUAAGCCACUCUUGGAUUCCUGACCCACAGAAACUGUUGGAGACAGACAAACAUGUGCCUCCUGAUUGAAAAAACAGAACAUCACCUGUAGUCUUGCCAGUGAGAUCAAACUGAAGUCCAAUUAACCUCUGGAUCCAGCUGCCAAUUUGCAGGAAAUAGAGGAGAGAAGCAUCUGUUGAACUGCACCAUGAGUAUACACUCAGCAAAGGCCAAACUGUGGAAAAUGAUACAGGUCAAACAGCCUGGAUUCUUUAACAGUAAGUGAUGUUUCUGAAGCACCAAUGAAAAUGAAGUCCUGAAGUCCUGUGCUCAAUAUGAAAUGUUGGAAGUUAGAAGAAAAAAACAAAACUUGGAUCCAAUCUCAAGGCACUUUUUGUUUAAUGGGAAGAAGUGGAUUAUUUUAAAAGCUACAAAUAAAGUUACAUAAAAGUAGCAAAGUUGAUA